rnacentral:misc_RNA from 1 species
CAAAGUAUAACUUUGAUCUUCUAGUUUUAUACUAUUGCUCUAUAUUAUAUUAGUUUAUACAGAGAAUAUAUAUACUUCUUCAUGUGUGUAGUCAGAUUUGUUAUUUUCAGAGUUUGUGUGCAAAGCACAGCACCAAUAUUUAUCAUUUAAACGUGUAUAAAAUGUUUAUUUAGCUAGGCAUAUUUUACUGUAUGUGUCCAAAUGCUAGAUUUCAUUUUGUGUGCAAAAAGUCUUCCAUAUUAUUUUAUGCAAAUAAGAUGUUUGUCAAAUUGUGAUGGUGAAUUGUUGUUGAAAUGGUUGAAAUCUUAACUCCGAAAAUGCAAAAGUCUUAACGUUCCUUUCAUUGUUUGAAACCCCUACAGGUGUUCAUUUAAAAUAUUUACUUUACAUAAAAUAGUUUUUUUUAUGUGAUACUUAGCUGUUUUCUGUUUUACAUUUGAUUAAACUAUGUACUUUUUAUAAAGGGGGUAUAGCUGUGUCGCUAUAUGUUUGGGAAACAUACAUGAUACAUACAUACAUUGUAAAUGCACCUGUUAUUGUUUUGUCACCGAUGGUUUACAUGUCAUAUUGGUCAUCAUUGUCAUUAUUGCCAAUCGUGUCUAGCUUCAAGCUGUUAUUUUCUUGACAUUUACAGAAUAAAAUGUUGAAUACU